rnacentral:rRNA from 1 species
UACGUAGGGGGCAAGCGUUGUCCGGAUUUAUUGGGCGUAAAGCGCACGCAGGCGGUCUCAUACAUCUUGGGUGACAGGUCCUGGCUUAACUGGGACAGUACUGGGGAAAUGGUGAGACUUGAGGGCUUCAGAGGGACGCGGAAUUCCAGGUGGAGCGGUGAAAUGCGUAGAGAUCUGGAAGAACACCGAAGGCGAAGGCAGCGUCCUGGGAAGUCACUGACGCUCAGGUGCGAAAGCUAGGGGAGCGAACGGG